AGGAUGAACGCUAGCGGCAGGCUUAAUACAUGCAAGUCGAACGGUAACAGGCGGUAGCAAUACUGCGCUGACGAGUGGCGCACGGGUGCGUAACACGUAUGCAACCUACCCUUAACUGGGGAAUAACCCUGUGAAAGCGGGGCUAAUACCCCAUAAUAUUAUGGUAAGGCAUCUUACUAUUAUCAAAGAUUUAUCGGUUAGGGAUGGGCAUGCGCCCCAUUAGUUAGUUGGUUAGGUAACGGCUAACCAAGACUGUGAUGGGUAGGGGUUCUGAGAGGAUUAUCCCCCACACUGGUACUGAGACACGGACCAGACUCCUACGGGAGGCAGCAGUAAGGAAUAUUGGGCAAUGGACGCAAGUCUGACCCAGCCAUGCCGCGUGCAGGAAGACGGCCUUAUGGGUUGUAAACUGCUUUUGUAUGGGAUUAAAGUGUUGUACGUGUACGACAUUGCAAGUACCAUACGAAUAAGCAUCGGCUAACUCCGUGCCAGCAGCCGCGGUAAUACGGAGGAUGCAAGCGUUAUCCGGAAUCAUUGGGUUUACAGGGUGCGUAGGUUGAUUAUUAAGUCAGUGGUGAAAAUUCCGGGCUCAACCCGGGACUUGCCGUUGAAACUGAUAAUCUUGAGUGUAACUGAUGUGGGCGGAAUGUGUCAAGUAGCGGUGAAAUGCAUAGAUAUGACACAGAACACCGAUAGCGAAGGCAGCUCACAAAAUUACAACUGACACUGAGGCACGAAAGCGUGGGUAUCAAACAGGAUUAGAUACCCUGGUAGUCCACGCUGUAAACGAUGAUCACUAGCUGUUUGCGAUACCUUGUACGUGGUUAAGCGAAAGCGAUAAGUGAUCCACCUGGGGAGUACGUCGGCCACGAUGAAA
rnacentral:rRNA from 1 species